UACGUAGGGUGCGAGCGUUAAUCGGAAUUACUGGGCGUAAAGCGUGCGCAGGCGGUUAUGUAAGACAGUUGUGAAAUCCCCGGGCUCAACCUGGGGAAUUGCAUCUGUGACUGCAUAGCUAGAGUACGGUAGAGGGGGAUGGAAUUCCGCGUGUAGCAGUGAAAUGCGUAGAUAUGCGGAGGAACACCGAUGGCGAAGGCAAUCCCCUGGACCUGUACUGACGCUCAUGCACGAAAGCGUGGGGAGCAAACAGG
rnacentral:rRNA from 1 species